rnacentral:lncRNA from 1 species
GGGCGCCACAGUGCUCGGGGAGGUGCUAAUGAGGAAGGCGGCAGACCGCACUCCGACACGAGCUGCACCCCGUUCCGCUUCGCAUGGCCCCAACUUGUCCCAGCCUGUGACCUGGUCUCUUGACUUUAGCACCUGUAACCUCAGAGACCCUGCGUUCGACCAAGUAUGGCCAUCAAGUGUGAAAAGUUUCAGCAGAUUCCAAGGUACAGGAAGACCAGGCAUCUGAAGAAUGAAUUCAGCGACUUCGCCCCAGACUGUGGCUCAGCAUCCAGGAACUGACGCUCAGCAGUGCGGUGGGCUUGCGUAGCAUUCUGGCCGUAGGAGGCGUGGGUAGGAAGCUGACUCCCGAGUCCAAGCCCCCAUUAUCUCCAGAUUGCAAGACACUAAAGCUGAGGUGGAAGAAUCUCAAGCAGGCUGCAGCGUGGGUCAGAAGAUGGUCUUUCUGCAGAGGACCUGGGACAAAAGGAGCAGAAAUGAAAAGUGGAGUGGAUGACUAGUUUCUCACUCCCGGGCAUGGUGUGCUGGGAGCACAGGGUCCUGGCUGGGCCCUGUGCAGGUCACCUGAGCUGGAGGAGCUCACCAGCAGUGGCCACACCUAGAGCACCGUGUCCCUGCCCAUCUCUGUGUGUCCCAGAUCAAUCAGAGGUGUGCUUGUGAGUCUAGCGGCUGCAGCGUGUCUGAAAUCCCCAGCUGGCCAGCUGGGCGAUCACAACAGUAACGGUGCGCAAAGCCUUGGGUGUGGCUGGCUCCACUUGGUGUCCAGGGCCCACCGAGCAGCUUCUCAGCCUUUCUUCUUCUCUCCUGCCUUCGGGUUCUGAAAGGUUCCACUGCCUGCUCCUGGGUCUGUCGGUCUACGAUGACCUGGCCCGGGGUGCCAGGUGCUGCCAGCUGGUGACCACCACCUAAUGGAGCAGGACUUUUUUCCGGGACUUACUGGCUCCUCUUACGCCCAGACAGGCCUCAGUGACCCUGAUGCAGUCUGGAAAUGGUGUAAAACCAACUUCAAAUUGUCUAGAUUGCUGUUACUCCUCCCUGAGGAAACGGAUGCCAAACUAGCUGGACAGCUGACAUGGGCAUCAGCUGGGUGGAGACAGACUGCAGGGCUUCAUGGCAAGCAGCACAGUCACCGGGGUCGGGAAGGAGUCAGUUCUGGAGGACUGGGGAGAAUCGUGGCCGCAGAAGGCGGGAAGCCUGGCCUGAGUCUGCACGGAGCACCGGAGUCCCUAGCCUGA